CUCGGUGGCAAUAGCGAGGGUGUCACACCCGUUCUCAUCCCGAAUACGGCAGUUAAGCCCCUCUGCGCCUAUGGUACUGCACGGGAAGCUGUGUGGGAGAGUAGGACGCUGCCGGGA
rnacentral:rRNA from 1 species